UGUCCCGGAUGGCGCAGUGGUUACCGCAUCUGUCUAGUAAGCAGGAGGUCCCGGGUUCGAAUCCCGGUCCGAUAG
rnacentral:tRNA from 1 species